GAGCACAGGCUGUCAUCCUGCCCACCCUGGGCUCCGAGGGGCAGGUCCUCUCCUGACCAUGGGCCCAGCCCCACCUGCUGUGGGAGCCCGGGCGCUCCAUGCCGGGUGCCGCAGACUGGCUGGGCUGGUGGGCUGUUCACAGCCUGCCUUCAGCCUAGCCUGCCCUCCUGACUCUGUAGGGUGUCCUGUUGUUCCACUGGGAACUCUGGUGGGACGGAGUGUUGACAAACCUAGCGACCGGAAGCUGUGCCCUCGGUGUAGCAUUCUGGGCCUCAGGACCAGCUCGUCUGUCCUGUAGCUCAGGCUGGCCUGUGCUCCACAGCUGCUGUGCUGGGGACGAGAAAGGGCUUAGGUGCCCAGCUCUGCCCUGCCUGAGCCGUGGGUUUCUGCACAGGCAGACAGGGAGCCUCCCCCAUCAUUGGUCUGAGUCUUGCCUUGCUCUUCAGGAAUGAGGUCGGACCCCUUGGGCGGCCUUCAGGAAUGCUGCAGGGCUCUAGGGCUGCACCACAGGGGAUCUGGCAUGGACCAAGCCUGUGCCUGUCCAGCCCAUUUCCAGCACAGAGGGAGGAGGUGGGGGUGGCUUGCUGCUUCUCAGGGGCUUUGCUUUCCUGUCACCGUUGGGGACAUCUGGGUAGCCGUCAGUCCUGAAUGUCAUCCGCACUCGGAGCCCAUCUCAUUGUAAUGUUGACAUCUGCUGCAAAAGCUGCUGUCGCGCCACUGCUUGGCAAAGAUCCCUUGUUGUCAUCAGCUGAUGGGUGAGUGGAGCUGAAGGCUGGGCCGGCCCGAGCCGGGUGGCCUUCUCCAGCAGAGCCCGCUCUCCUCCUGUCCCCCACUGCCUCUGGCAGCGGGCUUGCAGGUCAGCCUUCAGGGCCCAUGGCUGCCACCCUCCUUCCCCACCCCCUUCCCCUUCCUCGUCCUCCGCCUGACCCGCUGCCUCCCUGUCUAGGUCAGUUCUACAGCAACGGAGGGCAUUCUGGGAAUGCUGGUGGUGGCGGCGGCGGGGGCGGUGGUGGCUCUUCCGGCUAUGGCUCCUACUACCAAGGGGACAACUACAACUCACCGGUACCCCCAAAACACACUGGGAAGAAGCCGCCACAUGGGGCCCAGCAGAAGCCAUCUUACGGCUCAGGCUACCAGUCCCACCAGGGUCAGCAGCAGUCCUACAACCAGAGCCAGUACGGCAACUAUGGCCCACCACAGGGCAAGCAGAAGGGCUACAACCACGGGCAAGGCAACUACUCCUACUCAAACUCGUACAGCUCGCCGGGAGGCGGGGGCGGCUCAGACUACAGCUACGAGAGCAAAUUCAGAGGCUACUCUUCACAGUCGAACUACAACUCCCCGGGCUCUGGCCAGAACUACAGCGGCCCUCCCGGCUCCUACCAGUCCUCACAGGGUGGGUAUAGCAGGAACGCAGACCACAGCAUGAACUACCAGUACAGAUAAAGCCCUGCGUGGGCUGUGGCCUCCGCCUCCUGCACUUCCGCCCGCCCGCCAGAAGAUUCAGUUCGACACAUCACAGUUACCACGUCAGCCAGCCGGCCCUCCAGGCGCCCCACCCGUCCACGUUGCUGUGUUGUGAGGUGCAGCGGCCCCGGGCCGUGCUGUGACCCCUGUUUAGCCGUGUUUGGGACUCCAUGUCUUCAAUGGUUUGUUAGUUGCCAUUACAGCCUCUCGUCUGGGUAGAGUUUGAGUUCUUUACCGUUCAGUAUCCCUCUGUCUAUUUACACUUGGUGUUAACGUUGACUCGUUUGUCUUGAAAUAGUCAUGGAAGGGAUACGUCAUCUGUUAAUGCUUUUGUGAAGUGAGUUAAAUGAGCUUUCUGUAUUUUAAUGCUUUAGUGUUUCAGUUUUAUAAGUGAAGAUUUUAUUUUAAAAACCAGUGGGAGGGAUUUUUGUAUGUCUGGGGAUUUUUGUACGUCUGGGUCAUUCAGGCAGUAUAUCUGAGUUCAGCUGAAUGUAGACAAAUAAAGAAAAAGUAAAGUGCGUGCGCCUCAGGCCUGCGUGUCUGACCUUCCAGCCGGGCUGUUCCUGCCCUCAGAAAGUGAGGUGAGGAUGGCAGAAUGGCCCCUGGUCACCAGAGAGGGGCUACCUCCCGACAUCUUUUCCUGCCAGGGCGGCUCCACCUAGGCAUCUUGGCACCAGCUCCUAGGGGUGUCAGGGAGGUCCGCAGGGGCCCUCACUGGCCUUUGGGGUGGGAUCCAAAACUGCAGCUCCACCUCAUUUCGCCUCCAGGAGUUCUGGUGUCAUUUGUCAUUUGUAGUGUAAUCUCACAUUGUGAGAUUGUGAGCCACUGCUCUGGUGGCAGGCCUAGCUCACUUGGAAUAGUGCAGAGGAGAGCCUGGUGAUGUAAGCCCAGACCUGGUCCAGCUGUGCAGGGAGGGCUGGCAGCGCUGUCGCCUGCAGGACACCACAGCCCGAGCCUCGAAGAGCCUCAGGUGGAGAGGUUGGGCUCUUUCCAUCUCCGGGUACCUGGACUGAGUAGCAGACUUCCUGGAGCUGAGAUUCCACCUCCCGGGGCAGCGCUGCAGUGUUGGGGACCAGAGCGUGCUCCUGGCUUCUGAAGGGUAGAGGCCCAGGCGGCUGCCCGAUGUGCAGCAUGAAGAACAGCGCCUCACUGCAGGAACUUUGUGGCAAAGCGUGGAGGAAACAGCUGAACCUUGGGCUGCACUGGCCUAGCCCAGCGAAAGGAGCAGUGGUGGCGGCAUCACUCUGCUGGCAUCUGUCUGGGAAGAGCCUGUGUGUCCUUGGCGCACACUGCCCCAGCUACCCCAACCUCCGAGACCUGGGCAGCUGCUGCUCUGCACCCUAGGCGCUCUUGGCCUCCCCACUGUGGUGACCUUGUGUGUCGGGAGAGGCAGGGACCGUGUACGAAGAACUCCUCUGCUACCACGGGGCAGGUGAAGACGCCUUGCUGAGGGAAGAGCUUGCACUGAAGCUCCGGAGGAUGAUGCGCUCCGCUACUGGGGAGAGGUGGGAAGAAGAGGUGGCCUACAGUGACGACGUUUGGGUGGCCGGUGGGUGCCACAGGACCCCCUCCAAGGCACAGUCAUGGAGGGAUGGGUCCCAACUCUGAUUUUGAUGAACUGAAUUUUUUUUUUUUGAUGAUGAUGAUGAUCUGCAAUUUCAUGAGUCUGUGAUGAAUUGUGAUGAGUCUGGUCCACCUGUGGAUACUUGGAGGGCCAGGACAAGAAGAGACUGGUACUGUGUUGGAAGCAAGAGGACACCAGAGUGGGUAGCCUGUGUCACUCGUGCACAGGGAAGAAUGAGAAAUGUCUACAUGACUCCCUGGCCAAGCGCUGCCCAGCAGCUGUCGUCCGCACCAGCUUUCCCUUAAAACAGCAUUCCUGAGUCACCCUCACGUUCAACCAACUGCAGCCCCAACCUGAGGGCUCCCACCCACCCGGUCUUCCAGGCAUCGAAGAGCUGGGGAGUAUGGCAUCCUUGGCAUCCUGAGCUGGUUUGGGGACCUCACUGGUGCUGAGGGUCCUGCAUUGUCCCAGCCCUCUGGACCUGCCAGGCCAGCAAGCUGGGGAGCUUUUCUGCCUCUACCAGGAGCAGCUGGCAAGAGUGGGUUUGCAGUGGAGGCUCCUUGGCCAAGGUCAGGGUGGUUUAGGUAGAUGGUGUCCUGUGCCUGGAGUCACCGCAGAGGCCCCAGGAGGGGCCUGGGAAGAGCUCCAGGGUGGGGCUGCACUCACCACAGAAGGCACAGGAUGGAUGCCUGGGAGCAGAGGAGGGGGAGAGAAGACCAGCGGUCUCUAGCUGAGGUGAUGUUAGGGACGGGGAGCAAAUGAUGUGUAUGUGACAUGACAGAGGGCACAGGGUUUCCAACUCCCUGGUUAAGCAGUGCCCGUGGGACCCUGAUGGACUUCCGGGCCAGGGGUCCCGGACCCGACCUGGGAGUCCUCGCCCAGUGGCCUGAUGAGCCUCUGCUGUGGCUGGGGAGUGGCAUUUCCUCUACAGUGCUGACCCUUGUGCCACUGGCAGGACCUGGCCCUCAGAAGUCACCCGGGCCUGACUGCAGCCAGUGUCGGGCUCCACGUUCACUUGCACUUCACUUGCGCCUGAGACCUCUGGACACGGCAACAACGCAGCAGGCCUUAGGCUCAGAUGCUUCCUCUAACCCAUCCCAUAAUAAACACUUAUGUGUGUGUCUCAUUGAGUCACCGUGUGUGUAUUCAGUGGCGCUUAGGUGUCUGGUCCUGUGCUGGGAAUAUAGCAGUAAACAUGGUACCUGCUGGAAGAGGGGUGUCCCAGCAUCCGUCCACCCGAGCGGGACAGGA
rnacentral:lncRNA from 1 species